rnacentral:rRNA from 1 species
UCUAGUUGUCGAAGCAGGAAGACCACCUCUGGACUAUGACAGCGGUUCCGACUCCCAAGUGACUUCUUUAAUCCAAACUCGUUGGACUAGUGUCUCUUAGUUACAGACUCAAAGACCUUGAGCUCCGGGCCCUACCCCAUUCCUACUGGACCUUGCACUAUGGGCCGUGGUUCGUCCUGCGACGAUCGACGCAGCAGGGACAGAGCCGGUAUAUGUGAGGAGACUUGGGGUUGGGACGGUAAGGACAAGAAGGAAUACGGGGUGAGGCGACGGCGUAGACGGCGAGGUAGGAGUUGGGGAAGAGCCAGCGGCUGAAGCCAAGUUUCUACACCGAGACGGGUAAGACGAAGGUCGCGUUGGUGAAGGGGGUCGUCAUGAGGCGAUAAAGCGUUUCGUUGGAUGGAUGGCUUGACAUAGGACUUACAACAUGACACCUCAUGUACCGGUGACGGCUUUGUCCAGGACACAGCGGUGGUCAGAAGGAGAAACAACAACUGUGAACGUACUAGCUCCUCCUUUAGCCGAUAAACUUCAGGCGAGACCGCGUUCGUCAACUCGACAACGGCCUGGUUAGGGAGCAGCCUAAGUAAUGAAAGCCCUGUAUACACGUCCACGUACUUAACCCAAAACCGAACAACGGAUUCAGUGUACACAAGUUCCCCUGUUUCCUCUAAUUCUUCCUAGUUUAAGAACUCGUUUACCCAAAGGAAUGUCCCUUUUGUUUUGGGUGUUGUCCACACUAGUGGCCGCGUUCCCUACCACAAAGUCGUCUUUCAUAACCAUCCAUGGACAACGGACGAAGCCUCACACUCAAAUACAACUUAAGUGAAUAUCUUCUUGACGUUUUCCUGGGCACCGGCCAAACACGACUAGUCGCUCGUAGUUCUACAUGACCUCGACGCAAUUCACAACGUCGGUCGGAGAACCCCUAAACACACGGACCUAGUCCACCAUCUUAAUACCGUAAAUAUCCACCGGGUAGAUGUCUCCCUGAACCAAGAUAUUAUAGAUUCGGCAAUAGACUAGGUUAAGCAAGCGUGUUUCUAGAACUAUUUCCAAGACGAGGUGAAAUAUUGUUUCGGCAAUUUAAGAUGCUCCUCUAACCUUUAGUUGAGCACGUAGUUCCCGUACACGAACUAGAUAAACGUACACGUGAACUGGUCCAACCACAACGACUCUACUUCCAACGUCACCUCUCUUGACCCCCUUAUCAACACGAACGUCUUUCAAAACCGGUAAGACAAAAAUUUCUAAGUGAAUCUGCGUAAAAAGUCAGUUCGCUAUCACUGGAACCACCGAAUAGCAAGUUACCGUAUAAACUCUAGUUGACGAGGUUCCUACAGUUUUAAGUUCCGUAGUAACCUGGAACAUGAAGGGACCUCUUCUUUCCAGGAGAUAGGAGUCUAUGUCAACAUCCAGUCCCCUUGUGAUCGCGAACCUCCUACACACCAGAUCUAUCCUUUUGUAGUGAUACGGAUAAUAAACUAUACCGGUUUUUUCUACGGGGCCUGCGUUAACCAGUUAGUGUUUUAUUAGACAAGAUGAAGGUUAAGAAUUGGAUAAUAGUCGUAGUACUACCCGUUUACUCUAACGCUAGCUGAUGUUAAAGUUCUUCUACCCAACGACCAAGACCGUCACACGUCCUCAAUUAUUGACCGAAACUGGUUCUCCGUCGUCGUCGUCAGUACCGUGCGAACCAGAGUAAAUUCUACCUUCGACUCCAACUAAAACUAGGUCAUUCUACCGAACUGGCUCGUAACUAAUCAAAUACAAGCUUUAAACCUCUGAUAGUCUUCCUUCGUGGAAGUAGAAAGUCAAACAGGGGUGCAGAUAGUUAAAAAGGUGUCAAAUAAAAAUUAAACUCUGCAAGAGUCAAAUAAGUCCAAAAGUUGUUAUCAGGUCUACUUUGACGUAUAAAGUCCUACUACAAUUUGUCUCUUUUACAUCGUUUACGUCAACACUUCUAGGUCGGUAGUGAAUAUAGUAUAAGUAAAGUCAGUCCAGGACUCGGACAAGAUAACCUACAUUCGCGUUAACGACCACUGUCCUAUGAAAACAACCUAAGAAUAAAAUGGCAACAGUAUAAGGUACCCUAUUGCUAGCGUGUCAUCGCCUUCCGACCAAUGGUUUUAGUUCUUCCGGUGCUCUACAAACGGGUCAACAACGUUCGGGGUGUCCUCCUUCGACUAAGUUAUUAGUUCCUCGCGAAAGGACACGGAGCAAACCAACACACGCUAGUUAUACCAAGAGUCCGAGCUAAGAACGACCGUUUCGACUUGGGUAGACACUGUAUACUGAGGCUGUCAGGAGGCGGAGGACCCCCCCUAUACUAUAAGUGUCUACUACGCUCGAAGGUCCAGAAGUACCUCGUAGAGGUCGCCAACCGUCAAGUCAUCUCGUACCUGCACGUCAUCAAAACGUGGUUACCGGAGAAGAGAGUACAUGUCGUUUCUUUUGGAAAAGCACACAUAGCGAGAAUAUGGCCAACGGUGCAUGACAUCCGGUCGUAUGGCGAAAAUGGAGGCGUAGACAUGUAACGGUACCUGACAUUCCAAAUACAGCAAAUCGGGCUCUACCUUGUAAGUAUUUAACACAACAAUCGAGUUGUAUACCAACUAGUAACGAAUGUGGUUUCUUCUAACGGUAGCAGACCCACAAGUUCGCAUGACCACUUCUCCUCAAAAAUUCAGAGUACACACCGAUCGCUACCGCACCAACGACGCAGAUGAUCUAAAUAACUAUCGUCCACAAACGAGGUUUUUACACACUGUUAACUACAAUACCACCACCAAAUAACCAACUACCUUC